rnacentral:rRNA from 1 species
CCCUUACUGCUCAGUAACACGUGGCUAACCUACCCUCGAGACGGGGACAACCCCGGGAAACUGGGGCUAAUCCCAGAUAGAUGAGAACUCCUGGAAUGGGUUCUCGUCCAAAGGGCACUGUGGUUAUGCUCUGCGGUGUCGCUCAAGGAUGGGGUCGCGUCCGAUCAGGCUGUUGGUGAGGCAACGGCUCACCAAACCUAUAACCGGUACGGGCCGUGGGAGCGGGAGCCCGGAGAUGGGAACUGAGACAAGGUCCCAGGCCCUACGGGGCGCAGCAGUUACGAAAACUUGUCAAUGCACGAAAGUGUGAACGGGCUACCCCGAGUGCCGUCCGCUGAGGAUGGCUUUUCUCUGCUGUGAGAAGGCGGAGGAAUAAGGAGAGGGCAAGUCUGGUGUCAGCCGCCGCGGUAAUACCAGCUCUCCGAGUGGUAGGGAUGAUUAUUGGGCUUAAAGCGUCCGUAGCUGGCCUUUCAAGUCUCUUGUUAAAUCCAGCGAUUCAAUCGUUGGACUGCAGGAGAUACUGUGAGGCUAGGGGGCGGGAGAAGCCGACGGUAUUUUCGGGGUAGGGGUAAAAUCCUAUAAUCCC